AGAGUUUGAUCCUGGCUCAGAAUGAACGCUGGCGGCGUGGAUUAGGCAUGCAAGUCGAACGGACGUAGCAAUACGUUAGUGGCGACCUGGUGAGUACAAGUUGGGUAACUUGCCCGAAAGUGGGGGAUAACUUCCUGAAAGGGAGGCUAAUACCGCAUGUGGUCAAUGGCUCUUCGGGGCUGCUGACUAAAGCAGCAAUGUGCUUUCGGAUGGGCCCGACUCCCAUUAGCUAGUUGGCGGGGUAAUGGCCCACCAAGGCUACGAUGGGUAGGUGGCUUGAGAGAGUGGUCACCCACACGAGGACUGAGAUACGGCCUCGACUCCUACGGGGGGCAGCAGUCUAGAGGCUUCGGCAAUGGACGAAAGUCUGACCGAGCGACGCCGCGUGGAGGAUGAAGGCCUUCGGGUUGUAAACUCCUUUCGGCAGGAAGAAAGGUCUGGAUGGUGAAUCCAGGAUUGAUCUACCUGCGGAAGAAGCCCCGGCUAACUUCGUGCCAGCAGCCGCGGUAAUACGAAGGGGGCGAGCGUUAUUCGGAUUUAUUGGGCGUAAAGGGCGCGCAGGCGGCUGGGCAAGUCUGGUGUGAAAACGCUACCGCUUAACGGAGCGAUUGCGCUGGAAACUGCUCAACUUGAGUGCAAGAGAGACAAGCGGAAUACCUGGUGUAGCGGUGGAAUGCUCAGAGAUCAGGUAGAACACCUGAGGCGAAGGCGGCUUGUUGGCUUGUAACUGACGCUGAGGCGCGAAAGCGUGGGGAUCAAACGGGAUUAGAUACCCCGGUAGUCCACGCUGUAAACGGUGAGUACUAGGUGUGCGGGGUACCCAUUCCCUGCGUGCCGCAGCUAACGCAUUAAGUACUCCGCCUGGGAAGUACGGCCGCAAGGUUGAAACUCAAAGGAAUUGACGGGGGCCCGCACAAGCGGUGGAGCAUGUGGUUUAAUUCGAUACUACGCGAAGAACCUUACCUGGGCUUGAACUGAGGCUUACAUGGGAUGAAAGUCCCUGCCCUUCGGGGGUGCCUUAGAGGUGCUGCAUGGCUGUCGUCAGCUCGUGUCGUGAGAUGUUGGGUUAAGUCCCGCAACGAGCGCAACCCUUGUCUUCAGUUACCAGCGCGUAAUGGCGGGGACUCUGGAGAGACUGCCCGCGGUAAGCGGGAGGAAGGUGAGGACGACGUCAAGUCAUCAUGGCCCUUACGUCCAGGGCUACACACGUGCUACAAUGGCGGGGACAACGCGCUGCGACCAUGCGAGUGGAAGCGAAUCGCUAAAACCCCGUCCCAGUUCAGAUUGGAGUCUGCAACUCGACUCCAUGAAGAUGGAAUCGCUAGUAAUCGCGGAUCAGAAUGCCGCGGUGAAUCUGUUCCCGGGCCUUGUACACACCGCCCGUCACGUCACGAAAGUCCGUUGUACCAGAAGUCGCUGUCGGAACCCUUUAACAAGGACCAAGGCGCCGAAGGUAUGGCUGGCA
rnacentral:rRNA from 1 species